rnacentral:rRNA from 1 species
AAUGAACGUUGGCGGCGUGGAUUAGGCAUGCGAGUCGUGCGAGAACCGUAGCAAUACGGGGACAGCGGCGAAAGGGAGAGGAACACGUGGAUACCUACCCCCAGGAUCAGGAUAGCUAUGGGACACUAUAGGCAAUACUGAACGAUAUCUCCGGAUCAAAGGUGUGAUUCCGCCGGAGGAGGGGUCCGCGUCCUAUUAGCUAGUUGGUGGGGUAAUGGCUCACCAAGGCGAAGAUGGGUACGGGAUGUGAGAGCAUGAUCCCGCUCAUUGGGACUGAGACACUGCCCAGACACCUACGGGUGGCUGCAGUCGAGAAUCUUCGGCAAUGGGGGAAACCCUGACCGAGCGACGCCGCGUGUGAGAUGAAGGCCUUCGGGUUGUAAAUCACUGUCGUAGAGGAGGAAGUGUAGGUGGGUUCUCCCAUCUAUUUGACCUAUUCUAGGAGGAAGGACGGGCUAAGUUCGUGCCAGCCGCCGCAGUAAUAC